rnacentral:rRNA from 1 species
UACGGAGGGGGCUAGCGUUGUUCGGAAUUACUGGGCGUAAAGCGCGCGUAGGCGGACCUGCAAGUCGGGGGUGAAAGCCCGAGGCUCAACCUCGGAACUGCCUUCGAUACUGCGGGUCUCGAGUCCGGGAGAGGUGAGUGGAAUUCCUAGUGUAGAGGUGAAAUUCGUAGAUAUUGGGAAGAACACCGGUGGCGAAGGCGGCUCACUGGCUCGUAACUGACGCUCAGGCGCGACAGCGUGGGGAUCAAACAGG